GGCGUUUUGGAUUCGACGCCGGUUACAAAACCUAGGGUGCAUGCCGAGAUGGUGACCAAUCUCGUUAAUCCAAAGUCGCAAACUAUUAGUUGCCAACGACGACAACUACGCACUCGCCGCCUAAGAAACGGUAGAUUGCCAUCUGACUGGAGCCGUGCUUGUGCGUCCAGCGCUUCAUCUACCCUCGGGUAGCGGCGAAGCAUUCAGGUGUCAUACUCACAAGAUCGCGAUGAAGCUCGUCCGAGGUGGAUUCUCUAAAAACUCAUCGGAAUCGCGGUUUGCGCGCCCUGUCAGUUGGGCUGUAGACCGUUAAAUAUAAUAGACUGAACUAAGCAUGUAGAGCCUUCGGCAGCGGACUGACGGACGCGGGUUCAAUUCCC
rnacentral:tmRNA from 1 species